CGCAAAUCAAAUGGACCCUCCACUAUGAAGGUGUCAAGUACAGCUGAGGAACCAACCUCCCUAACAAAGUUUCCAAAAUCAUUCCUUUCUUCGUUGAACUUGUUCCACGAUCCCAUUUCGUCCGGGAAUUUUAGAAUCAAAUCAUUCGUCCCAAAUCGGAUCCGGAACUCGUAUCUCUGGGCAAUACCAAAUCUAACCUUGCUCAAUUGCAAUUUGGAAGACGUAAUUCCAUCAAAAUCCCAAUUUUGCCUUUUGGAUAUCUCAUUCAAAACAUCCUGGAGGAUGUGGGUAUCGUUGGGGUGGAGAAGAGCGAGUGCCAGAGUAAAUGAUAGGGUAUGGAGUUGGAGGAACUGGAAGAGGAAGAGGAGGGGGGCACAGGUGAAGGGUAAACGACGACGAAUUAUCGCCAUGGAUUCAACGUCAACGACCUAAGUAGCGAGUAAUUAAUGAAGUCGGGGAUCUCAAACUUUUUCUGCUACAUUCAUUUUGUGUAAAAGUCAAGUGCUGCCCAAAAUCUCUGUGUCUGCCACGUGUAUCAGUAGCACAGAACCGGUUAUUAUUAUCUAAAGGUUUUCCACCUUUUAUGGAAUUAUUAUUCUCAGGCUCAAUCGCAGCACUUUGCACUGAUACUCUCCGUCCCAGAAGUUUGUUUGGCUUUGGUGGAGGGAGGACUAAUAAAAUAAAGUUAAAUAUAAAAAUUAUAAAUUGUUUUUUAAAAUAUUUUUAACUCCUCAAAUAACCUCCUAAAACCCUCCCUAUCAUCCAACCUCCAUCCUAAAUAAAUAAAAAAUUUCUUAAAACCACCUUUCCUCUUUCUUACCAACGUAACUCCUCCGUCCCAAUAAAGGAAAGAAAGGAAAGGGGGGGACAGCUAACGGUACAUGUAAAUCUGCGAACGAAUCCCAUUCUACAUUUUAUUUUUCUCUCUCUCACUGAAUUUUGCUUGGAUUGCUUGUUACCACGGGAAGAAAGAAAUACCUGAAUGUCAUUUAGCUGCACCUAUUUAGAUUCGAGUUAAUCCAUAUGUAACACUUCUGAGCAGAUAGCAAAUCCAAUUCCAUUGGGGCCAAGCAAUAUGAAUAUUGUUCUCUUUUUUGCAUCCUUCUACUCUUUCAUUCCACUAAAAAGUAAACCACCGAAGAAAAAAACUUCUCUCUAUAUCUUUUAGAGAAAGACCUUUCUUUCUCUAUACUUCUUUUGCGUUAGAGACAUUAAGCCUCUGUUUCUUUGCCGGUUUCACCGUCCCCCCUAUCCCUCCUUGCAGGAGAGACAUCCCUUUCCCUUGUCCUGAUAGUGGGUUUUGCUUUCCCCCUUCCGGAUGGGUGCUGGUGUGCAUAAAUAAUAUCCUUCUUUUUUUUUUUGUGCUAGACUGUGCUUAAUGAAGAGAGAGCUUGCAGAUCUACCGUGGUUGAAGCUGCUUUGGUGGCCUUGGGUCUUGCAUGCAGAUCUAGUGCUUCCUAUCUGUUCUUCCAUUUUUUCUGGCUCUGCGGGUUUGUUCUUUUAUGGGAUGUUGGUAUCUCGGGGGUCCUUUGCCGGCAAUGCCAUCUAUGGCCGACCCCUUAGCUAAUAGGCUAUUGAGCUCUGCCUCAUCGCCCUUUUCGAGCUGAUCUGUGUUGUUUUCUUUCAAGCUUUGUCCAGCUUCUCUUUGGCCUAGUUUGGUUCUUUUUCAGAUCUGUUAGACUAUUCUGAGAUUGUCGUCGCUGGGGACUCUUCGAUUUGAUGGCUAAUCCAUGGAUGUUUGCCUGUGUACUUCUUUUAGCGUGAUGUCUUCCUUGGGCGGCUGGCUGGCUGGCAAAGAAGAUGGUGAUGCUCCUCUCUUUCCGGGUCACUUGGCUAUGGGUCGGAUCGUAAAUUUCUAAGAUUUUGCUUAGGUGACUUGGGUUGGGUUGCUGGUCAUCCUAGCUUGACCUUUUCCUAGGUUUAGAGCUUCUUGUUGUAUUUUUCUCUUGUUGGACUAUGCUUGUAUAGAGCCAAAGCCAUUUCUUUUAAUGAAACUAUAACUUCUGAA
rnacentral:misc_RNA from 1 species